GUCUAUUUGACCUAAUACAAUCUUUAAAAGCCUUAGAUGAUUAUGUUUUUUUUUAAAGAUUUUAUUUUUUUCCUUUUUCUCCCCAAAGCCCCCCAAGUACAUAGUUGUAUAUUCGUUGUGGGUCCUUCUAGUUGUGGCAUGUGGGACACCGCCUCAGCGUGGCUUGACGAGCAGUGCCAUGUCCGCGCCCAGGAUUCGAACCAACGAAACACUGGGCCCCCUGCAGCGGAGCGCGCGAACUUAACCACUCGGCCACGGGGCCAGUCCCAGUCCUUAAAAGGAAGAAAUCGGUUUCAGGAUGCAACUCACAGGUCCAUUCCAGAAGGUCAGGAGGUGCAGACGAGUUGAGCUGUUGACUCAGCUGAGAUUACACCCUGGAAGACCAGGCAAGACUGUGUCACUCUAUCGUCACUCUGGCAAAGCAACCAAACCUCAGAAAGACCCCUCCCUUGUUUCUUCCCUCCUUUUCUAACCUGCACAAAUGUUUACUGAUGCUUUCUGGGUGCUGGCACUGUGCUGGUCCUGAGGACAUGGAGGUGAACAAGCAGACACAGCACUCUCUCUUAGGAAGAUGGCACUCCAGCGGCUGACACAGGCAUUAAACUGACAAUUUCACACAGAACCUUGGGAUUACAAUCGUGACAUGCUCCUAACAUCGUCCUGCUUAAGUGCACGCAUCUUUUCAAGUGCAGCUAACUUACAGCCCAAGACAGAGGUCUGAUUUUUACAGAAGCUCCAAGAACUUCAUGGAGUUUUGUCCUCAAAGCAGACAGGGACGUGGGGCAGCUGCAGGAGAACGGGAGGAGGAGAGAGGCCAGACGGUGCUGGGGCGCGUGCAGAACGAGCGGGUGCCCACCCCAGGGCCCCGCCUUGUGUCUGUGACUCUGGUCUCUAAAGGCUGGCUGUGGAGUGAGACCACGUCAUUCAUUUUCAGCUGGCUUAUCUCCCUCUUGGUUUAUUUGUAGAAAGUUUCCGAAGCGUAUCUGUGAACCCUUAUUCCAUGGGAUGUCAACAAGUGUUACACACACACACACCAAAAAAAAAACAGAAAAAACAACUAUCCACAGUCAAAUAAGCUUCUUUACUGCAGAAUUCUCAGGAAUUCUAGAAUCCCAGGCACACUGCGAAUCAGCACGAGAGGAACCCUGAGUGGACACGCUCAUGUUUACUGGUGAUGACGCUCUUUUCUGCAGAACAUCUGACAGGAACAGCACUGCCUGGAAGGAAGCUCAGGAAACACAGGCUUAGCUUCCUCUCUAAAUCAGUUUAUUCUCUUGUGGAUACCAGGGAUGGCAAGGAAGAUGCUUCAUCACGUAGAACAGAGAAGAAAGUGGUUCUGGGAUUAAACUGUUGUUAUAGGGAACUCACAGAACGGCCAAUUCACGCGGACAAAAUCUCUGAGAACUGACAGUUACCGUUGUGUAACUUCAUA
rnacentral:lncRNA from 1 species